CAGACUCACACACUUUGAAAACAAACUUGUGGUUACCAAAGAGGAAAGGUGGGGGGGUACAGAUUGGGAGUUCACAAUUGGCAUAUGCACACCAUUGUAUAUGGAACAGAUGAUCAAUGGGGACCUGUUGCAUAGAACAAGGAGUCUAUAUUCUGUAAUAACCUAUAUGGGAAAUGAAUCUGAAAAAAAGAAUGGAUAUGUGUAUAUGUAUACACAUAUACAUAUACUUUGAAUCACUGUUGUACAGCAGAAAUUAUCAAAACGUAAAUCAAUUACACUUCAAUAAAGCUUUAAAAAAUGAAAAAAAAGUCACCAUAGACUUAGAAAGCUCUACUCUUGUGUUGACAUCUUACUUGCGGUAAUAAAAUUCUGUUUCCUAGCAACAAGACUAUCAUUGGUUAACCAUUCUAUUACUUUGCCCUACACAGAACAGUUGUUAAACUCUGUUGGAUUGCUAAUCAGGCUACUGCCUUCUGCAGAGAGGCAAAUACGAGCAACAAGAUAUAUACUGCAAUUCCUUAGUUUCCACUAGUCUUUUUAAACUCUAAAUUAUAUACACUUACUAUUCAAAUUAUGCAAGGAGAGAGAUCCUGAGCUAACUAGGGACUGCAGUGUAUCAUUAGCAAGGGCUACAGAGCUACUAAAGCAUCUCUGGACCAAAAUGUUAAGAUUCAUUUAAAUAUUAAAAGUGUUAGCUAUUACUGCACAUGAGAGUGGGGACAGAAAACUGUCUACUUCAGAUGUUGCUCAGUUCCUCUAUAGCACGUAGUUGACAAGGGAGCUAGAGUUUGGAGUAUUCUGUUAGCUUUUAGGACGAAUAGUUCAACAUGAUUUGAUUUCAGCAAAGUUCAUUCUGCUUAUUCUGAAUUUUUACUCAAUAUUUUAUCUCCAUAUCCAGGUCCCUCUCUGGCUUAUUAAAGCAGUUUAUAUUCCUCACACAUUUUGAAUAAUAUUUUUGAACUGGACACAAUGAAAUGUAUUUGUAAUCUCUGUACUCAAAGACUUUACUUGUGAGACAUAUUUUCUAUGAUUCUUAAAGAUAAGUAACCUCUCAAGGUAUCAUUCAUUUAUUUAUGGUAUCCCUUCUGCUUCUAGGAAUUCCCAAAUAAAUGGAUAUCAAUGACUUUUCUUACAAUAAUUCUGCUGCAUAUUUGUGUUUCUCUGAACAGACUAGUCUUUUUUGGGAGAAUUAUUUUAGGUGUUUGUGUUUUGCCUAGCUAAUAUUUCACCAUGGGAUUCUUUUAAUUGUAUUUGUCCUAGGCUUACUGAAUGAAAUUCCAAUGUAAUUUUUCUUUGAUUUUUUUUUCCCCCAAAGUAAAUGUUCCAAUUACAGUCAAUGAAGUCACCAGGAAAUUACUUUAACCCCAUGAACCUCCAUCAGCCUCUCCAAAGUUCCCUCUCCCAAAAUAAGCAUCCAAGUAUAAAUGACAGUUUCACUAUGUCAAUGCAGCUUCUAGAAACAAUUCCUAGUGAGCACAUUUUCCACCUGGAUUAUCCUUAUCCCCUUCAUACAUAUGCAUCUUCUUUUAUUACAGCUUUCUGUGUGCUCUUUCCUUUGAACAAUAUGAAGAAACAGCAUUUUACCCAGGUUUAUACCUAUGCUUUAGCCCAUUGCUCAGUGUCAAGCAUAUAUACCAGAUACACAAUAGCUGUAUAUACACAAAAUAUUUUUGGAGAAGUUCAUUUAUUUCCCCUGGGCUGAAAAAUUUUGUAUAUGGGAUAGUUUUUGUGUAUGUUGCCUACCUGACCAUUGAAUUAUACAAGUAGAUAUAAUUACAAUUUGAUUCAAUUACAAUUAGACAUAAACAUAAAAAUCUUUUAACUUUUCCUUUAAAAUAAUGCUGAAAUAAAUUGUUUCCCCUAAGUACAGUGUACAAAGGUCUUGGCCAGAUAAAACAUCUUUUCCACCAUUAAUAUUUAAAGGUACCAAUCAAUCUUUAAGAAAUGUUAAAAAAAAGAAAGGUAUCUUGCUUCAGGAUUAAAUUAUAUCCACACUAGUGACUUGGUGUUACUAGUCUGCUAAUUUUUCAGGUUAGGUCGUGACAUAAACCUAAAUGAAUGGUAGGACCCUGAAAAAUCACCUCAAAAAAUAAGAGUUCCAUUGUCAUUGGCUGACCCACUUGCUACAUGUAUAAGAGCCUGUUUUUUUCCGCCUACAAGGUCUUCUACUUGCCAUUUUCUUUGUGAGAAAAAUUUAACCAUCCCAUAUUUGAUUAGUUUGAGACCCUGUUUAAAGAACACCUACUCCAAAAGGCUUUUUUUUUUUUUUUUUUUUUUUUUUUAUUCCUUUUUUGGCUACAGCACCAGCAGAAUAUGGAUGUUCCCAAGCUAGGAAUCAAACUAGAACUGCAUCUUCAGCCUAUGCCACAGCUGCCACAAUGCUGGAUUCUUAACCCACUGUGCCAUAAUGGAAAUUCCCCAAUCAUCCUUUUUCAUUUCAUUAUUUUCAUCUCCCUUCACUCACCCUCACUGAUUUGUUAUAACACAUAUAUUUUACUAAAGUUGUUUUAGACAUCUGUCUCAUUAAGCCAAAAGCUUAUUGGGAUAAGUGACUUAGCUUUAUUUUCUUUGUAUUCUGAAAGUUUCGACUAACACCUGUACAACAAAAUGAAUUCAAAAAUAUAUGUGGUAAGCAUAUUAUUUGACAUGUGCGAAUAUUUUGGAAAGUGAGGGAACACUAUGUCUCUAUUUAAAGCAUGCAGACAUUAUAACAGUGAUCUUUUCAAAUGUCAUUUUAGAAGCACCACGACAGUAAGUGUCAAUGUUCGUGAACUCCUAGUUCAGAACUGAUUUCUGAUUUAAAAAUAAGAUCAUUCAUCCUUGUCAUUGCAAGGUAAUUAAUGUAAAUUUCAUUUGCAAAUUCUUGGCUUCAUUUCUUUUCAUUCUUUAAUCUUGUAAUCACUCCUACUAAUACUUUGAAAAGGUGACCUUAGGAAGCAAUUAACAUAUUUGUUUAGAAUAACAGAAUAAUUGCAUGUUUAUUACUGUAGUGUUUGAACAAAUAAACAGUAGAUUAACUGAGGAAGAAUGAUUUUCUCAAACUAGAAAAUUGGUGAACAAUGCUAAUACACGUAAUCUUUUUAAAGAACAAGUAAUGAAUUUAUUAAAAUAUUUAAGAAAUCUAAGCUUUUGGUAGAAACUGACAAACACUGAAUCGUUAGACUUCAAUACAGCAUUGCUUUAUCAAUUUUCUCCUUAUGGUUUUCCUUCAUUUUCUUCCUUGAUUUUUGCAUCGUUUCUUUCUGACAACGGUCUUAUUUUUUACUUUUUUUUUUUUUUUUUUUUAAGGGCUGUGCACCUAUGGCAUACAGAAGUUCCCAGGCUAGGGGUCCAAUCUGAGCUACAGCUGCUGACCUACACCACAGCUCAUGGCAACGACGGAUCCUUAACUCACUGAGCAGGGCCAGGGAUCAAACCCACAUCCUCAUGGAUACCAGUUGGGUUCAUUUCCCCUGAGCCACAAGGAAAAUUCCCUGAAAAUGGUCAUUCCUAUCUUAGGCUCACUCUUGUGCUUUUCCUAUGUCUUUAGCUAUAAUACUUCAUGUUUCCAAAGAUUCUAAAAAUCUCUUCCAUCAUUUCUUCUUUCUCAUUUCUUCUUGGACUAGUUCUUAUAAGCUUCUUCCUCAUUUUCACUUCCUAUGACACUUUUCACUUUUUCUUGCAUCUUCUAUACCACUUAUAACAUCUUUUUCUCCUUUCCCUUGUAUCACACUCUAAAUUAUAACUUGCAGUCAUUUUCAUCUCUCUUGCACCCCUUUCAGAUUCAUCUGAGCCUAUUCUUCCUCAUACUCAAACUUUCUACUUCUUUUUAGGUAUGAAACUAAUUUAGUGCCCUGUUCUUCAAGAGGCCACAUCUAAUUGCACCUGUUAUUGCCAUCGGAAAGACUGCUUUGUACAGGAAUCUCUUGCACAUAUUUCAGAGACUUAGGCUUUUUUUCCAUUUCUAAUUAAAACCCAGUUAAUGAAUUUAAGAAGAUUAAUCUGGAGUUUAUGGUAUAUGUCCUAUCUUUAAUAACUCCCAUCUUAGCUCAAUCAUUUCCAUUUUAAUGUCCAGAAUAUAAUAAUCCCAGUUGGGAAACUAAUUUUUUUUAACUUCAACAAUAAAAUAAUACUGGUUAACACCAGACAAUUAAAAAUAUGCUGGACCUUUUUUAAAAAAAUUCACAGCUUAUCUACUUUUGUAAAAAUCAAAAUAUCAGGAUUAGAAACACUUGUAGUCAGGUAUACACUUCGAUGUCCAGACUGAUGCCACUUAAUUCUUCUCAGUGAGCUCUAAAAUGACAACAGUUAUUUUUAAAAAUAGCUUCCUUUAGUAGAACAUUUGCCAGUUGCCAAGUGCCAUCCUAAAAGUUUUAAACGUAUGAACUAAGUCUUCACUUUAACACUAUGAGGUAUAUGUUAUUUUAACCUCUUUUGUACAGAUAAGAAAAUUGAGAUACAAAGAGCCUGAGUAAUUUCUCUAGGUCUCUCAGCCCAGCAAACCAACCCAGGAUCAUCUCAGACCUAGAGAGCUUACUGUCAGAACGGUUUAGGAUGGCCAAUUGUUGAAUGCUGCUGAGAUCUCUCAGACAAUUAGGGAUAAAAAUACUUGCAUGUUUUGUGGGAAUUUGUUGACACAAACAUGUAAAUAUCACAUAUAAAUUAAAGCAUCCAAGAUAAUAUGUAUUUUAGUUUGAGUCAUAUACUGAUUCUAUGAAGAUGUUACCAAUAAAAUUACACUUUUGCAUUGACUGUUAAAUAUUUGAUUACAUAACACAUAUUUACACACAGAAGUUUUUUCCACAUAUUUGUUUACAUAAAUGUCUUUAAAAAUAAAUUAAUUGCAAUAUUUCUAAUUUGAAUUAUGUAUUGUUUGUUGUGCUGUGUUGUUAUUUAUAUUGGAUUUUAGGCAAUCCAAUGUAUAGUCAUUUCAGAAUCAAAUCUACUAUUAUUACUCAUUGAUGAAACAUCAUUGAAGAUAUUGUGUUUACCACAAUAUAUUUGUAAAACUACAUAUUUAAGUGUCUACUUGUACAAAUAUAUAGAUUUUUAAAAUGUUACAUCUUAAAUGAUAAUGUUAAAACUAAGGCUGACAUUCAUGUGUAUUUACUGUAUACUAAGGAUGAUGCUAGUUCUUUGCAUGCAGUAUCUAAGUUCAUUCCUAAAACAACCCUUUGGGAUAGGUUUCAUUUUUAUCAGCUCUAGGAAGAAUAUAUACAAUAUUAAAUAACAGGUAUGUCAAGAGCAUGAACCAUUCAGAUGGUAAGCCAAACAUGAUGGAGCAGGAUUUUGAAGGCUUCUUACUAAGUCUCGUAUUGUAUUGGGGAAGAUCUGAGGAGGACAUUCUUGAGGAGAACUCAGGUGGUUGGGGUGGGAGGAAGUGUUCAGAAAGCUCAGGACAUUAAUUAUCUACCAACUAGUACCCCUCAUAAAAUGAUUUUAAUUUGUUCAUAAAAACCUUCCCAUUAGUUGCAAAGCUGUUAAAUACUAAUAUACAUUUCCAUUAAUUUUAAUGGGAAAAAAUUAUGAUGUAUUUCAUCCCAACCCAAGACACUCAAUUUUUGAAGGUAGAAAAAUAUGAACAAUUUAAAUAACAUAAAAUAUCAUGACAGCUUAUUAAACUGACCAAAAUCAUAUUUUCAUAUGACUCAACAGCAGGUGGAGGUAAGCAGAAAAGGGUACAAAGAAAUCAUGCUGGGGCAGGAAUGAAGAAAUGAAAAGCUCUGGGAUUAACUUUGAGAUAGGUGAGCAUCACUUUGAGAUAAGUAAGCCUUUUGAGAAGUACAUAGUUAUUUUGCACACAAAUUCCAAUCAAAAAUGUUUAAAUCACAUAAAACAACAACGACAAUGACAAUAAUCUUGAAGCACAAAAUACAGACAAAACCUGAGAGCACUUUCAAAUAAAUCAAACUAGUGCAGGCUCACAACAGAUGGCCAAGCAGUCAGAGAAGCAACUACCUCUUCAUACCUUUCACUUCCUGUAAUUACACAAAACAACCAUGCUAACACAGUGGUUGGGAAUUGUUUUGUACUAUAUUUUCUAACCAAAAGCUGAUUUUAAAAAAUUAAUACACAUGUCUCUGCCUGAAACUAAAGUGUCAAUAAGUUAAUAUAUUUAUUUAGAAAGGUGUGGAAUGGAAAAGGUAUUAUACUGAAAUAAAGAGGUCAUCCUAAAGUGGUGUAACUUCUUAAGAAUCAUUAUGAUUCUUAAAUAAUUGAAGAGUUAGCAAUCAAUACAGCCAUAUGGGACAUAAAAAGCUGAGUAUCACUUGAUCAUUUCCAUUUUCCACUGCAGCAAAUGAGACUAUGAGAGGUGAACUAGCAAACCCUGGUCACUAAGAUAGUAAACAGACAUAGAGUCAGAACUUCACCCCAAUUCUGCCUCAUAUCAAAGCCUAUGCUCUAAAUAAUUGUGUUAACUGUGAAGGAUCUCCUUGUUUAUGUCUAUUGCCAACAUUUGAGUGAGUAAAAAGAGAAUUAUACUGAGUUCCUUUGUGACGCAGUGAGUUAAGUAUCUGGCAUUGUCGCUGCAGUGGCCUGGGUUGUUGCGGUGGCUCAGGUCCAGUCCCUGGCCUGAGAACUUCAACAGGCUGCAG
rnacentral:lncRNA from 1 species